AGAGUUUGAUCCUGGCUCAGAUUGAACGCUGGCGGAAUGCUUUACACAUGCAAGUCGAACGGUAACAGCAGAGCUUGCUCUGGCUGACGAGUGGCGGACGGGUGAGUAAUAUAUCGGAACGUGUCCAAUAAUGGGGGAUAACUAGCCGAAAGGUUGGCUAAUACCGCAUACGCCCUGAGGGGGAAAGCUGGGGAUCUUCGGACCUGGCGUUAAUGGAGCGGCCGAUACCUGAUUAGCUAGUUGGUGGGGUAAAAGCCUACCAAGGCAACGAUCAGUAGCUGGUCUGAGAGGACGACCAGCCACACUGGGACUGAGACACGGCCCAGACUCCUACGGGAGGCAGCAGUGGGGAAUUUUGGACAAUGGGGGCAACCCUGAUCCAGCCAUUCCGCGUGAGUGAAGAAGGCCUUCGGGUUGUAAAGCUCUUUCGCAAGGGAAGAAACGAUAUAGUUUAAUAGGCUAUGUUAAUGACGGUACCUUGACAAGAAGCACCGGCUAACUACGUGCCAGCAGCCGCGGUAAUACGUAGGGUGCAAGCGUUAAUCGGAAUUACUGGGCGUAAAGCGUGCGCAGGCGGCUUUGUAAGUCAGAUGUGAAAUCCCCGAGCUCAACUUGGGAACUGCGUUUGAAACUACAAGGCUAGAAUAUGUCAGAGGGGGGUAGAAUUCCACGUGUAGCAGUGAAAUGCGUAGAGAUGUGGAGGAAUACCAAUGGCGAAGGCAGCCCCCUGGGAUAAUAUUGACGCUCAUGCACGAAAGCGUGGGGAGCGAACAGGAUUAGAUACCCUGGUAGUCCACGCCCUAAACGAUGUCAACUAGUUGUUGGUGGAGUAAAAUCCAUGAGUAACGUAGCUAACGCGUGAAGUUGACCGCCUGGGGAGUACGGUCGCAAGA
rnacentral:rRNA from 1 species